GUGAGCAGUAGUCAUAUGCUUGUCUCAAAGAUUAAGCCAUGCAUGUCCAAGUACAUGCCGCAAUUAAGGCGAAACCGCGAAUGGCUCAUUAAAUCAGUUAUGGUUCCUUGGAUCGUACCUUCCUACUUGGAUACCCGAGGAAAUGCCUCGGCUAAUACAUGCAGCAGAGCUCCGACCUUCGGGGACGAGCGCUUUUAUUAGACCAAAACCGAUCGGACCUCGCGUCCGUAUCUUGUGACGACUCUGUAUAACUUUGGGCUGAUCGCACGGGCUCGUCCCGGCGACGUAUCUUUCAAGUGUCUGCCUUAUCAACUUUCGAUGGUAGGCCACGCGCCUACCAUGGUCGUAACGGGUGACGGGGAAUCAGGGUUCGAUUCCGGAGAGGGAGCCUGAGAAACGGCUACCACAUCCAAGGAAGGCAGCAGGCACGCAAAUUACCCACUCCCGGCACGGGGAGGUAGUGACGAAAAAUAACGAUACGGGACUCUUUUGAGACCCCGUAAUCGGAAUGAGUACACCCUAAAUCCUUUAACGAGGAUCCAUUGGAGGGCAAGUCUGGUGCCAGCAGCUGCGGUAAUUCCAGCUCCAAUAGCGUAUAUUAAAGUUGUUGCGGUUAAAAAGCUCGUAGUUGGAUCUCAGUUCCAGACGGGUGGUCCGCCUACCGGUGGUCACUGCCCCGUUCUGAACAGCCAGCCGGUUUCUCUUGAUGAUCUUCACCGGUUGUCUUGGGUGACCGGCAAGUUUACUUUGAAAAAAUUAGAGUGCUCAAAGCAGGCGUGACGCCUGGAUAAUGGUGCAUGGAAUAAUGGAAUAGGACCUCGGUUCUAUUUUGUUGGUUUUCGGAACACGAGGUAAUGACUAAGAGGGACAGACGGGGGCAUUCGUAUUGCGACGCUAGAGGUGAAAUUCUUGGACCGUCGCAAGACGAACUACUGCGAGA
rnacentral:rRNA from 1 species